GAGUCGGCCAGACGACCGCGUCGGACUUCGGGUCCGCCGAGGAAAGUCCGGGCUCCAUAGGACACGGUGGUGGCUAACAGCCACCCGGGGUGACCCGCGGGACAGUGCCACAGAAAACAAACCGCCCGAAAGGGUAAGGGUGAAAAGGUGGAGUAAGAGCCCACCGCACGGCAGGUGACUGUCGUGGCACGGUAAACCCCACCGGGAGCAAGACCAAGCAGCACCUGGGCUGUCCGUCCAUAGGGUGCGGGUAGGUUGCUAGAGGACGCCAGCAAUGGCGCCCCGAGAGGGAUGGUCGUCCGCCGCCGCGAGGCGGUGACAGAACCCGGCUUAUCGGCCGGCUCGU
rnacentral:RNase_P_RNA from 1 species